UACGUAGGGGGCUAGCGUUGUCCGGAAUCAUUGGGCGUAAAGAGCUCGUAGGUGGUUUGUCGCGUUGUCCGUGAAAACUCACAACUCAAUUGUGGGCGUGCGGGCGAUACGGGCAGACUGGAGUACUGCAGGGGAGACUGGAAUUCCUGGUGUAGCGGUGGAAUGCGCAGAUAUCAGGAGGAACACCGGUGGCGAAGGCGGGUCUCUGGGCAGUAACUGACGCUGAGGAGCGAAAGCGUGGGGAGCGAACAGG
rnacentral:rRNA from 1 species